UGUGUUUGAUCCUGGCUCAGGAUGAACGCUGGCGGCGUGCCUAAUACAUGCAAGUCGAGCGAACAGACGAGGAGCUUGCUCCUUUGACGUUAGCGGCGGACGGGUGAGUAACACGUGGGUAACCUACCUAUAAGACUGGGAUAACUUCGGGAAACCGGAGCUAAUACCGGAUAAUAUUUCGAACCGCAUGGUUCGAUAGUGAAAGAUGGCUUUGCUAUCACUUAUAGAUGGACCUGCGCCGUAUUAGCUAGUUGGUAAGGUAACGGCUUACCAAGGCAACGAUACGUAGCCGACCUGAGAGGGUGAUCGGCCACACUGGAACUGAGACACGGUCCAGACUCCUACGGGAGGCAGCAGUAGGGAAUCUUCCGCAAUGGGCGAAAGCCUGACGGAGCAACGCCGCGUGAGUGAUGAAGGUCUUCGGAUCGUAAAACUCUGUUAUUAGGGAAGAACAAAUGUGUAAGUAACUAUGCACGUCUUGACGGUACCUAAUCAGAAAGCCACGGCUAACUACGUGCCAGCAGCCGCGGUAAUACGUAGGUGGCAAGCGUUAUCCGGAAUUAUUGGGCGUAAAGCGCGCGUAGGCGGUUUUUUAAGUCUGAUGUGAAAGCCCACGGCUCAACCGUGGAGGGUCAUUGGAAACUGGAAAACUUGAGUGCAGAAGAGGAAAGUGGAAUUCCAUGUGUAGCGGUGAAAUGCGCAGAGAUAUGGAGGAACACCAGUGGCGAAGGCGACUUUCUGGUCUGUAACUGACGCUGAUGUGCGAAAGCGUGGGGAUCAAACAGGAUUAGAUACCCUGGUAGUCCACGCCGUAAACGAUGAGUGCUAAGUGUUAGGGGGUUUCCGCCCCUUAGUGCUGCAGCUAACGCAUUAAGCACUCCGCCUGGGGAGUACGACCGCAAGGUUGAAACUCAAAGGAAUUGACGGGGACCCGCACAAGCGGUGGAGCAUGUGGUUUAAUUCGAAGC
rnacentral:rRNA from 1 species